rnacentral:rRNA from 1 species
UACGUAGGGGGCUAGCGUUGUCCGGAAUCAUUGGGCGUAAAGAGCGUGUAGGCGGCCCGGUAAGUCCGCUGUGAAAGUCGGGGGCUCAACCCUCGAAUGCCGGUGGAUACUGUCGGGCUCGAGUGCGGAAGAGGCGAGUGGAAUUCCUGGUGUAGCGGUGAAAUGCGCAGAUAUCAGGAGGAACACCAAUUGCGAAGGCAGCUCGCUGGGACGGUACUGACACUGAGACGCGAAAGCGUGGGGAGCAAACAGG